CCGGGGGACGGGAGGUAAAGUAGUCUGGGAAACAAGCCGUCGAUGGAGGGGGAGGAUACUGAGACGGUAGCUAAUACCGCAUAACGUCGCAAGACCAAAGAGGGGGACCUUCGGGCCUCUUGCCAUCGGAUGUGCCCAGAUGGGAUUAGCUAGUAGGUGGGGUAACGGCUCACCUAGGCGACGAUCCCUAGCUGGUCUGAGAGGAUGACCAGCCACACUGGAACUGAGACACGGUCCAG
rnacentral:rRNA from 1 species